AGAGUUUGAUCAUGGCUCAGAGCGAACGCUGGCGGCAGGCCUAACACAUGCAAGUCGAGCGGGCACCUUCGGGUGUCAGCGGCAGACGGGAGAGUAACACGUGGGAACGUGCCCUUUGGUUCGGAACAACCCAGGGAAACUUGGGCUAAUACCGGAUAAGCCCUUACGGGGAAAGAUUUAUCGCCAAAGGAUCGGCCCGCGUCUGAUUAGCUAGUUGGUGGGGUAAUGGCUCACCAAGGCGACGAUCAGUAGCUGGUCUGAGAGGAUGAUCAGCCUCACUGGGACUGAGACACGGCCCAGACUCCUACGGGAGGCAGCAGUGGGGAAUAUUGGACAAUGGGCGCAAGCCUGAUCCAGCCAUGCCGCGUGGGUGAUGAAGGCCCUAGGGUUGUAAAGCCCUUUCGGCGGGGAAGAUAAUGACGGUACCCGCAGAAGAAGCCCCGGCUAACUUCGUGCCAGCAGCCGCGGUA
rnacentral:rRNA from 1 species